AAAUUGAUUACUAAUAUUACAGUAUGAAAUGGAAUAGAGAAAUUUACAAAAAUAUUGCGAAAAAUUACAUCUUAAGCUAAAAAUUGCAAGUUCAAAAAAAUCCAGAUAAAAAAUCCAGAUAAGUAAAUAAACAAACAAAUGCAAAACAAGUAAAUAAUUAAUAAAAUUACAUUAGAAAAUCGGAAUAGGUAAAAUUUUUUUAUAAAAAUAUUGCAAAUGACAUCUUAAGCUAAAAGUUGGUCGAAUUAUAUCAUAAUUGGUGGAAUAAUAUACCAUAAGGAAUGAAAAUACAUAACAUGAACAUACAAAUCCAUUGAGCAUUCCUCUCUUUAUAUAUUGGUAGGUCUAAAGUUUUAUGUUCGGAAUUGGGUAUAUAGCUCUUUACAUACCAUAUUUAAAAUGUUGUAUCCUAUUACUGGUAACUGUUACCAAGUUUUCCUUCAAACAUACCCCCUGUGUCUUAGAAAUAUCAGUUGUACAACAUAUUAAACAUUUUAUUUUCUCCAAAGUCUGGCUUUAAGAAUAAAAUGUAUAACUGAAUAUUUUGUAAUUUUUUUUCUACACAGAUAUCGAUCUUAUGUCAAUGCUGUAUACGCAUCCAAACCUUUAUCAAACCCCUCCAUUGCAAGACCAUGGACGCUCCAGUGCUUCAAGCAGUAGCCUCUUCAAUCCAGACAUCAUUUCGCUCGAUUGACAAAGAACCUGGGGGAUGGGGGCUUUACAGCCCCCUUCCUCCAACUUAGAUUUUACAGAUAUUAUUGAUGAUCUUUUUCGUAGUUGUUAGGUGUGAAGGGUAGGGGAAAGUCAAAACAAAUCAUAGGCUUAGAUAUUUUUAGUUGAUAGAAUAUUAAUUAAGCGGUCUCUACAUGGUCUAGGAUUUAUUUAUGCAGGUGAAAACAUUUUGUUGAAUAUUUGAAUGCAGGUGAGGAAAUUUAUGCUAUCAGAUAUCUUCCGUAUCAGAAAGUAUCCUAAACAAAUAUAUAGAUAAAAUUACCAUUCAUUAAACAAAAAGUAUAUUAAAUUUUGAUUAAUUCAAAUUUACAUACAUUUAUUUCUUUAUUAACCAAUUUAUUUUGUCAUUUUUUGCAUUUGCAAUUUUAAAAAAUUAAUGAAAAAGUAUAAUUCUAUAAAUAUAUUUUUGAGCUACAUUUUUAACUAAGAUUAAUAAUUUGCUUAAGAUGUUGAGAUGGGUAAUUUAUAAUUUCAGUUUUCUAGAGAUUGAUCUGUGAAUGGUUGAAAUUUCAAAUUUAUACUUAAUUUUUGUUUUGAAUUUUAUCCUUCUUUCUUUAAAAAUAUAACAUCAUCCACCAUGAUCUACAGUAUUUAGAAUGGUGUGAUGCAAGUACUGCACCAUGUAAGUAAAUACAAGUAAAGGCGGUAUAACAAGAAAUAUUACUUUUUAUUUGUACCCAUGUAAAAUGUUUUUUUUUUAAUUAAAUGUAAAAUAGGAAAAUCACUUUUGUAAUUUGGUAUAUCACUGUUGACCAUGGAAAAUUGGAGCUUUUUUGGAAGGCUCAGUGACUAGUACAAAAUUCUCAUUUAUGAACAAAAAAACCCUGAUAUUCUGCAUAGGUUAGUUAUUGGUUAGAAAGAUAUUCAGGAUAUUUGAAAUGUGUUAAAUUGAGCAUCAGGGAUUUAGCCCGUCUAAAUUUUAACAUGAAGUGACAUCUGAGUAGUGAAACUUCGAGUGGGUGUGGAUUUACGAGGGGGCAGGGGAUCUCCCAAGGUAGGUAAAAAAUGAAAUUAAAAACCAGAAAUAUAGGAAUACCAUACAUAAAUAUAACAAAACUUGUUUUUGUUUAUAUUCAUUGCAUAUAUUGUCAAUGAUUCAAAUGGCCAAGAAUUUAUUCAAUAACAUUACUGAAUGAAAGCAAGUGUGGUGUAACACAUCAUCCUAAAUAGUGGCCAUCUUAUGUCUUAUUGGAUUCAAAAAAGAAGUCUUGAUGGUAGCUCACUAAUUUGUUGUGGGUGAAGCUUAAAUCGACACCUACACAGUAGAUCUAAAUUUAACUUGUUAAUCUGUGCUAGAUCAACAUUUAAGUGUGAUGGUUGUUUUUUAUUCAUUAUGAACAAUAAAAUAUAUUUAUUUUCUCAGUUUCUGCCAGUCCUAUCAUUAAAACCAUGAAUAUCUUUACCUGAUAUUUGUAUUUACUAUAAUCCUAUGAUGAGUAAAUGUCAUAUGACAUGAUAGUCAGAAUUCCACAUCUUGUGAAACACUCCCUUUCAAGAACAUGUGUGCUAAUACUAUAAAUAGAAGAAUGCACUGUGACAACAGGUCAACAACAAAAAAUGUUGUUACUGAAAAAUAUUGAUACUAGAAAAUGAAAUAGGGCAGGUAUGUGGUCCACUUUGUAUAAAAUGUAACAAGUUGGCAGGUUUGCCAAUACAGUAUUUAAAAAUUCUAUAAUUGUAAUGAAUUUAGUGUUAAAAUAUUUGCAUUUAUAUUCUACUGCUAAUUUAUAAAAUGCGGUGCAUUUUACAAAUUUAAUUUUAAUUUUCAUCCACACUGCACCGUGUACACUUGGGGUAUAUCCAGUGAUCUUCAAUAAUAUCUUUAAAUGUGUUCAUCAUCUACAAUAUAUUGAUGACAUCAUCCAAUGUUACCAUGGUAACCUGGCAGUUUACACUUGAGGUUUAACUGGUGAUCUGUAAUGCUAUCCAUGAUUUAUAACUUUACACUUGUAUUUUUUUUUAUAUAUAAAUAAUUAUUUAACCCAUUCUGUGAACUUUUAAAAACGUACUCUGUCUUUACCUAUCUAGCCAGAAUUUUGCUUUGUUGUUUGUUUAGUUGCAUGUUAAAUUAUAAAUUGUUUGCUCAGAUGUUUGCUCCUUCAGUUGUAUUAAGGGCGGUGUAAUAUAAAAAGCAUUUCAUUGGCGUAAUGCAUAGUUUAUUCCACAUAUAUUUGUACAUUAUGUUAAAUAAAUGAAAAUAUGUACAGCAA
rnacentral:lncRNA from 1 species